AUUGGAGCCGGUGCGCACCGCAGAGGAGACAGGGUGAGAGGGAGCGAGACGCAGAGGUAGUCGCGCCCCUGAUCAGUGGCUUUUUGCGGGAUGACUCGGAGAGUGGAGAGGCGGGAAGACCGUCGGUGCCGCCUGAAGCCUGAGACUGACGAGGUUACACGGAUCCUCGGCAUAUGCGCAUGUGACGUCGCUGACCUUUCCCGUGAUGCCAUUCCAGGUGAUGUUCUGGCGGACCGUGGGAGCCAGAAGGAUUGUUUCCACUCAGCCGGAAGAAGAUGGAGACUGGAGGUUACUACACUUGACCUUACAAUUAAAGGAUAUUUCUUGCAAAUAAAUGUGACUCAGAAAUGUCUUUUAAUUGUUUGGCUAAGUGUAGUUCGGCUAUAGUGUUGGGAUGAACCCCUGCUUGUGCUGCCUGCUGAUGGACCCUCCAGUUUCAGCACCACACCGGACCGGACAGCUCCUCUGGAUUCAUAAGUCAUUUACAGACUUUAGUUCUCUAUAUAUGGAAUCCUAGAAGGGACAAAUGUAUCUGCAUACGGUGUGAGCUACAUGGCAUUGAUUGAUAAAUUGAGAUACUACAAAAGCUUUAUACAAUCAAUAUUCAAGUCAAUAAAUUUAAACAUAUAUUUUGUUUGACACAAAUUAAUUAAACAAGAUCAGGGGAAAACUGAAGAAAAUUCAGGUAUUUAAAAAACAAACACUAAUUUGCUGUGGAAAGCAUUAGGAUGCUGUCAAAAACACCACCAUUAGUUGGACUUUUGAUUUUUUUUCUCUUGACUCUUCCCUUGAAUUAAUAAGUGUUAUUUAGAGGUUAAAAUUACACUUGGAAACAUAUAGUUGGUUUAUUCAAGCACAGUCAACAUUUUAGCUCUCGUCUCAUCCGCCAAAAUGUCAACUAUGCUUAAGUACAUCUGUUUUGGCACAAAUGUUUGAAUCAGAAUUGUCAAAACUGUGAGUGAUAUCUCUUUUGAAUAAAUGUUUUUGUACUGAU